UUAACUAAAACAUUUAUUCACUCUUCUCGUCUCUCUCUCUCUCUCUCUGAAAGCUAGAGAGAGAAAGUAGAUCUCGCCCAGCACCGCUUCCUCCAAACAAACCCACACCGCCGUUUCUUCCAAACAACCAAAUCGAUGUUUCCGGCUUCUUGCAACGAAAUAGGGACAUCAUCUUUUGGGAGACCCUAGUUUGUUCAUGAGUUGGUUAUCAGCGAAAUUGAUUCUGGUGUUGGAGAUCUUCAAUGAUUCUGCCAGGCCAUCUUCAGAUCUUCAACCCCGUUUUAAGAGUUCGCAAUAACAACAGGUUCUCCUGAUUUAAUCUAUCGCGCAAUUAUGCUGUUUGGAUGAUAAUGAAGAUCGCCAGUUAUUUAGGAGUGACAUUUUCCUACUGGUUUGGGAUUUGAUUAUAAUGAAGCAAAAGAUGCUUGCCAACAGAUCGUGAGAUUAUGACUAAAAGUGAUUAUUAUCAAAGGGGAUU
rnacentral:lncRNA from 1 species